rnacentral:rRNA from 1 species
AGAGUUUGAUCCUGGCUCAGGACGAACGCUGGCGGCAUGGAUUAGGCAUGCAAGUCGAACGAAAAGCAGGAGCUUGCUCCUGUGGACGAGUGGCGAAAGGGUGAGUAACGCGUGAGUAACCUGCCCUCAAGUUGGGGAUAACCUUUGGAAACGAAGGCUAAUACCGAAUGUGAAUAGUUUUCCGCAUGGAAUUCUAUUUAAAAAUUUAUUGCUCUGAGGAUGGGCUCGCGUACCAUUAGCUAGUUGGUGUGGUAACGGCAUACCAAGGCGACGAUGGUUAGGUGGAUUGAGAGAUCGGUCACCCACACUGGGACUGAGACACUGCCCAGACUCCUACGGGAGGCAGC